AUUGAACGCUGGCGGCAGGCUUAACACAUGCAAGUCGAGCGGGGUGAUGGUGCUUGCACUAUCACUUAGCGGCGGACGGGUGAGUAAUGCUUAGGAAUCUGCCUAUUAGUGGGGGACAACAUCUCGAAAGGGAUGCUGAUACCGCAUACGUCCUACGGGAGAAAGCAGGGGAUCACUUGCGACCUUGCGCUAAUAGAUGAGCCUAAGUCGGAUUAGCUAGUUGGUGGGGUAAAGGCCUACCAAGGCGACGAUCUGUAGCGGGUCUGGGAGGGUGUUCCGCCACACUGGGACUGAGACACGGCCCAGACUCCUACGGGAGGCAGCAGUGGGGAAUAUUGGACAAUGGGGGGAACCCUGAUCCAGCCAUGCCGCGUGUGUGAAGAAGGCCUUAUGGUUGUAAAGCACUUUAAGCGAGGAGGAGGCUCUUUUGGUUAAUACCCAAGAUGAGUGGACGUUACUCGCAGAAUAAGCACCGGCUAACUCUGUGCCAGCAGCCGCAGUAA
rnacentral:rRNA from 1 species